rnacentral:tRNA from 1 species
GGGGGAAUAGCUCAGUGGUAGAGCAUUUGACUGCAGAUCAAGCAUGUUCAAAUCCUGGUGCCCCCU